GGUGUAAGCCCUGUGCAAGGGAGUCCUGUGAACCAUGUCAGGCGGGGAACCGAGCAGCAUUAAGCAGUUAUGACCUGUGCCGCAGCAAGUUUACACUCAUA
rnacentral:SRP_RNA from 2 species